CAGAGAGUGGCUUUCCACUGGUAAAUAAAUCACAAAUGACAAUAAUUAAAUAUGCAUCAACAUUCAAGGGUUGAAGAAAUCUUUUAAGAAUUUUUUUAUAGAUUACUACUGGUUACUGGUCCUACUGACCAGUUUGGGAUAACCGAAUGAAAUAGGACAAUCUUUUUAUUAAUAUUGGCAAUAUUGAUUUUGUGAACAUUGAUGUAUACGAACCUUGAC